GAUGAACGCUGGCGGCGUGCCUAAUACAUGCAAGUCGAGCGGACAGACGAGUUUCUUGCUCCUCUGACGUUAGCGGCGGGCGUGUGUGUAACACGUGUAUAACCUACCUAUAAAACUUGGAUAACUUCGGGAAACCGGAGCUAAUACCUUAUAAUAUUUUCACCUACAUGGUUCAUUACUCAAAGCCGGUGUUGCUGUCACUUUUAGUUUGAGCCGCGCCGCAUUAUCUUUGUGGUAAUGUAACGGGUUACCAAGGCAACGAUGGGUAGCGGACCUCAGAGGGUGGUACAGCACCCGGGAACAGAGACAGGGUCCAGACACCGACGGGGAGAAGCAGUAGGGAAUCUUACGCAAGGGAGGAGAGCCUGACGGAGCAAAGCCGGGGGAAUGAUGAAGGUGUUAGGAUCGGAAAAUUAUAUAAUAAGGGAAGAACAAAUGUGUAAGUAACUAUGAAGGUAUUGACGGUACCUAAUCAGAAAGCCACGGCUAACUACGUG
rnacentral:rRNA from 1 species